rnacentral:rRNA from 1 species
AGAACAAGAUGAUACGACGAACUCNANNAGANUGUCCUGGGGGUAGUCCGCAACGAGCGCAACCCUCGUCUCCUAGUUACCAGCGGGUUAUGCCGGGCACUCUAGGGUGACUGCCGGUGUCAAACCGGAGGAAGGUGGGGAUGACGUCAAGUCAUCAUGGCCCUUACGUCCAGGGCGACACACGUGCUACAAUGGCCGGUACAGAGCGUCGCCAACCCGCGAGGGUGCGCCAAUCGCCAAAAGCCGGUCUAAGUUCGGAUUGUAGUCUGCAACUCGACUGCAUGAAGCCGGAAUCGCUAGUAAUCGUGGAUCAGCCAUGCCACGGUGAAUACGUUCCCGGGCCUUGUACACACCGCCCGUCACGCCAUGGAAGCUGGGGGGACCUGAAGCCGGUGGGCUAACCGCAAGGAGGCAGCCGUCAAAGGUCAAUUCAGUGACUGGGGCGAAGUCGUAACAAGGUAGCCGUACGGGAGCCUGCGGCUGGAUCACCUCCUUUCUGGAGCGACGAGUAGCCCCGACCUCUUGGUCNGGAUGAAAGUCCUCAGAAGUCGCCCGCACUCUAUUGNCUUUCUAGCUCGCAUCACUNUGCAGUGCGUGCUGUCCCAUCGNAGGCGGGGCCGAAUCUUGNCUNCUUUUCGAACGGANUUUGAAGCGGAAAUUGGCAUUGGGAUUUGGUUUAUUGUUCAAAGGGGCCCCAAGACCCCUCCCAUUUGGCUUAUGGGGGCCAGUUUACCCGGGGNUGCUUGAAGGGGAAAUUUCAAAACAUUUCGAAACCAGAACNUUUUGAAGAAUUCAUAACCGCCACAUUCACAGGGCNACGA